rnacentral:rRNA from 1 species
AAUGGGCGCAAGCCUGAUCUAGCCAUGCCGCGUGAGUGAUGAAGGCCCUAGGGUCGUAAAGCUCUUUCGCCAGGGAUGAUAAUGACAGUACCUGGUAAAGAAACCCCGGCUAACUCCGUGCCAGCAGCCGCGGUAAUACGGAGGGGGUUAGCGUUGUUCGGAAUUACUGGGCGUAAAGCGCGCGUAGGCGGAUUAGAAAGUUGGGGGUGAAAUCCCAGGGCUCAACCCUGGAACUGCCUCCAAAACUACUAGUCUAGAGUUCGAGAGAGGUGAGUGGAACUCCGAGUGUAGAGGUGAAAUUCGUAGAUAUUCGGAAGAACACCAGUGGCGAAGGCGGCUCACUGGCUCGAUACUGACGCUGAGGUGCGAAAGUGUGGGGAGCAAACAGGAUU